ACUCUCAUCAGGAAUUAAACAAACAGCAACGGGAGAAGAUGAUCUGCAGGAUCCUUCUGCUCAUCAGCCUGACCUCCUGUGUCUCUGGAACAUUUGAAGUGAAAGUGACACAGACCUCCUAUCAGGCAGAGGAGAACCACAACAUCACACUGGAAUGGAUGUUUACAACCAAACCUGACAGUUCCUCCACCUCACUGAACAUCUACUGUGACAUGUUGUCUGAUAAUAACGACGCCUCAGUCCU